GCUCAAAGACAUUAGGUCAGAGGUGGAAGUCGCUACUGCAUGGCUGUUAAGAAGACGAAGACAGGCUGGGAUAAUGUUGACUGUCCGUCUGCAGCUCUCCGCCUCUACAAUUACAAGGUUCCAGUCCGCCUGCACGGCCUCCAAGCCAGACGUGCCUUUUUCGGGCAGCCUCUGCCCGCACUGGUUCUCUCGCUCUUCUUUGGUGGGAAUAUCUUCCAGAAGCCUCCUCAAAGAUUGCUCACGGAUGAGAAUCCAUUCUGGCUGCUCUCCCCUGCCCUCCAAGAUCUGCCAUUUCUGAGGCCUGCUGCUCUGAGCCUGGGACUCUCGUGGAGAUCUACGAGACAGUGACAUUUCUAAUGUGUAUCAGCAAACUCUCCGCCACCCUCCUGCUGCUACCAAGAGUUCAAGUCCUAGGGUUCCAUUUAAUUGUGGUCUCCCCUGCUUGAAUUGUUCAUUUCCCAUUAAUAAAGUUCCCCUUGGUCGCUUGCCCUUAA